rnacentral:rRNA from 1 species
GGGUGCGAUCAUAUUAGUGUUUGUGCAUCAGAUCCCAUCAGAACUCUGUAGUUAAGCAUGUUUGGUUUAGAGUAGUACUGGGAUCGGUGACCUCCUGGGAAGUCCUAGUGUCACACCCUU